rnacentral:rRNA from 1 species
GAUGAACGCUGGCGGCGUGCCUAAUACAUGCAAGUCGAACGCAAAGCGCAAGGUGCUUGCACCUUUCCGGUGGGUGGCGAACGGAGGAGUACCACGGGGACAACCUCCCGCAAGGCUGAGGAUAACAUUUGGAAACAGAUACUACUACCGAAUAAAACUUGGUGUCGCAUGACGGAAAGUUAAAAGGCGCUGCGGCGUCACCUAGAGAUGGAUCCGCGGUGCAUUAGUUAGUUGGUGGGGUAAAGGCCUACCACGACAAGGAUGCAUGGCCGAGUUGAGAGACGGAUCGGCGACAUUGGGAGUGAGACACGGCCCAAACUCCUACGGGAGGGCGCAGUAGGGAAUGUUCCACAAUGGGCGAAAGCCUUAUGGAGCAACGCCGAGUGUGUGAUGAAGGCGUUGGGGUCGUAAAGCCCUGCUGUAGGGGAAGAACAGCUAGAAUAGGAAAUGAUGCGAGUGUGACGGUACCAGACCAGAAAGCGCCGGCUAAAUACGUG